rnacentral:rRNA from 1 species
CAGCCGCCACGGUAAUACAGAGGGUGCGAGCGUUAAUCGGAUUUACUGUGCGUAAAGCGUGCGUAGGCGGCUUCUUAAGUCGGAUGUGAAAUCCCUGAGCUUAACUUAGGAAUUGCAUUCGAUACUGGGAAGCUAGAGUAUGGGAGAGGAUGGUAGAAUUCCAGGUGUAGCGGUGAAAUGCGUAGAGAUCUGGAGGAAUACCGAUGGCGAAGGCAGCCAUCUGGCCUAAUACUGACGCUGAGGUACGAAAGCAUGGGGAGCAAACAGGAUUAGAUACCCCCGUAGUCCCUGUCUCUUAUAC